GUGAGCACCCUUAGUGGGAGUGCCCACUCUGGGAACGUCACUAUUUGGGGGCUUAGCUCCUGGACCGUCAAGAGCUGACACUGGCUGACUGUCUGCUCUUUCACUGGAGGCCAUUUCAGGUUCUGCCAACUUGUCCAUGGAAGGAGUUUUAGGGCUUGGGACGCUGCCAGUGGAUAGUGGCGUUCUAGACUCGACUGUCUUAGUAGCGGGCACUGCCAGUUUAGUUGGUGACACAAAUGACGCUAGAUUGGACAGCGAGGCCCCUUUGUGUGGAGGGCUUUUAGGUUGGAACGUGUCUGGCGCAGCACUUGGGGUCGAAGGGGCUUGAUGUGUUGGGGUCUUUGGUCGGGCUGCGUUGGAAAAGGUGAUCUGAGCUGACGACACUUGGCGUGUUGGUGUCUUGGGUCUCACGUCAUCAGAUGUUUUACUCUGAGCUGGUGGCGUUUUAGGCCUAGAAGAACCUCUGGACGUUUCAAAGGGUGCGGAUGUGGCUGAUGGGACUGGAUAUGUCGGGGUCCCAGUUGUCUGAGCUGGGGGGGCUUGGCGGGUUGGAGUUUUAGGCCUGGACGUCCCCAGUGUGGCACUUGGAACUGAGUGGCCAGGAUAUGUGGGGGUCCUGGGUGUGGAGGAGUCAGACGUUGCCAUCUUAGUCAAUGGGGCAGAAUAAGGAGAGUCGGAUGGUGCUGUCUGAGAAGUUGGCAUUUUAGGUGUGGGAAAAUUGGUGACUGGAGCUUCCGAUCUUGGUGUCCUAACUGAGGGGUCUUGAUGCGUUGGGGUUUUAGGUCUGAACAUCUCUGAGCUGGUCAUGUGAGAUGAGGACCCUUGAUACGUUGGGGUUUUGGGCCUGGACGUCUCCGAGGUGGUCAUCUGAGUCAUAGACACUUGAGAUGUUGGGGUUUUAGGCCUUGAUGUCUCUGAGGUGGUCAUCCAAGUUGUGGACACUUGAUACGUUGGGGUUUUGGGCCUGGAUGUCUCCGCAGUGGUCAUCAGAGUUGUGGACACUUGAGACGUUGGGGUUUUAGCUCUGAUUGUCUCUGAGGUGGUCAUCAGAGUUGUGGACACUUGAGAUGUUGGGGUUUUGGGCCUGGACGUCUCCGAGGUGAUCAUCUGAAUGGAGGACACUUGAUAUAUUGGGGUUUUAGGUCUGGCCGUGUCGAAUGCGGCCAUUUGAGCAGAUAGUGAUUUGUAUGUCGGGGUCUUUGGUCUGGACGCAUCAAAUGAUGACCCCGCUGUGUAGGUUGACACUUGAAAUGUGGGCGUUUUGGGCCUGGGCACGUUGUACUUUGCGAUUUGAGCCCUCAGAGCUUCAUAUGAGCCCACCUGCCCUUUGGGCACAUCACCCGGCCUACCGGUGGUGUCCCGUGUCGGUGUCUUGGCUCUCGGCACGCCAUACGCCAGGGUGGGGACACUGGAGAAGCCAUAGGACUGAGUUUUCCCAUCACUAGGUUGUGUGCCAUAUGGUGGGACUUCAUGCACAGAACCGGGGGUCUUUGGUCUCCCAGCGUCAGAGGUUGGAGUUUUUGGCCGUGGCCCUGUGCUCGAGGCUGCCGGUGACACUUUGAUUUUGGGGACCUCAUAUUGAGUUUCAGUCUUCCAGGUCGCCGACUGGAGUGGCGCAGCAUCUGCCGCCAGGGUGGUGGCUUGAACUCCAGAGCUGGUGGCUUCUUCGCCCUUAUGAGUGCCAACUCUCUGGACAUCGAGCACAGAGCUCUCCACGUGGGUGGCUAUUUGAGUGGCAGAAAUAGCCGUGCCGGCCGUAAAUAGCAGCGGCCCAGCAGCAGGUGCCAGGGAAGCUUGGCUUUCUUGCUGAGUCGUCGAAAUGCCUGCCUCCGGGGUCUCGAGUUCCACCCUGUGAGGAGACAGAAAUGGCAGCGGGGAGAAGCCGUCCUGUUUGGUGAAGAAGGCGGGCCGCUGUGUGGGGUACGGCGAGGGCGAGUGCUGCACCAAGGACUUGACCAGGAAUCGCGGGGGCAUUAAGGGGCCCACGUAGGCGGGUGUCUCGGGGGUCUUAGGUGGCGUAGAGUGGUCGCUGUGCUCGAGGUCUGGGCUGGCUUCGCUCACUGGGGAGAGGCUCGAGCGGAAGGGCACAGGCGUCUGAGACGUGGCAGGGGUCGUUUUCUUCUUGGCAGAUUUCUUAAGCAGUUU